UACGUAGGGACCAAGCGUUGUUCGGAUUUACUGGGCGUAAAGAGCGUGUAGGCGGCCAUUCAGGUCAGCUGUGAAAACUCGAGGCUCAACCUCGAGACGUCGGUUGAAACCGUUUGGCUAGAGUCCGGAAGAGGAGAGUGGAAUUCCCGGUGUAGCGGUGAAAUGCGCAGAUAUCGGGAAGAACACCCGUGGCGAAGGCGGCUCUCUGGGACGGUACUGACGCUGAGACGCGAAAGCGUGGGGAGCGAACAGG
rnacentral:rRNA from 1 species